GAUUAAGCCAUGCAUGUCUAAGUAUAAACGACUCUAUACUGUGAAACUGCGAAUGGCUCAUUAUAUCAGUUAUAGUUUAUUUGAUAGUCCCUACUACUUGGAUAACCGUAGUAAUUCUAGAGCUAAUACAUGCAUCAACUCCCAACUGCCUCGGCGGACGGGAUGUAUUUAUUAGAUGGAAACCAAUACCGAGUUUUCUCGGUUUUUGUGGUGAAUCAUAGUAACUGUGCGAAUCGACUCCGGUCGAUGGUUCAUUCAAGUUUCUGCCCUAUCAGCUUCGGAUGGUAGGGUAUUGGCCUACCAUGGCCUUAACGGGUAACGGAGAAUUGGGGUUCGAUUCCGGAGAGGGAGCCUGAGAAACGGCUACCACAUCCAAGGAAGGCAGCAGGCGCGUAAAUUACCCAAUCCUGACAUAGGGAGGUAGUGACAAUAAAUAACAAUGCUAGGCUUUUAAAGUCCGGCAAUUGGAAUGAGAACAAUUUAAAUCCCUUAUCGAGGAACCAUUGGAGAGCAAGUCUGGUGCCAGCAGCCGCGGUAAUUCCAGCUCCAAUAGCGUAUAUUAAAGUUGUUGCAGUUAAAAAGCUCGUAGUUGGAUUUCUGGUGGAGGUGAUCGGUCGGCCUCGCAAGGGGUCUGCACCUGUAUCGUCCUUUGCCAUCCUUCANGAAGGCGCUUNUUGUAUUAACUUACNGGUUGCGAACUCCUGAUCUUUUACUGUGAAAAA
rnacentral:rRNA from 1 species